rnacentral:rRNA from 1 species
CCAGCAGCCGCGGUAAUUCCAGCUCCAAUAGCGUAUAUUAAAGUUGUUGCAGUUAAAAAGCUCGUAGUUGGAUUUCUGGUAGGAGCGACCAUACCGGGCUUGAUUGUCCGUGUAUUGUGUUGUCUUCAGCCAUCCUCGUGGAAAACAUUACUGGCAUUAACUUGUCGGUAAUGGGAUCCACGUCAUUUACUGUGAAAAAAUUAGAGUGUUUAAAGCAGGCAAUUUGCUUGAAUACAUUAGCAUGGAAUAAUAAGAUAGGACUUUGGUGCUAUUUUGUUGGUUUGCACACCAAGGUAAUGAUUAACAGAAUCAGUCGGGGAUAUUCGUAUGCAAAUGUCAGAGGU